GUAAUCUCCGAUCACCGUCUCUCUUCCAAACUCUCCUCUUUCUUCGUUGUCACCUCUAUUUCUUCACAAACGAAUUCUAUAUCUAAGUCUCUAUUUGGAUCAUCAACUUCAUCGUUUUUACAUGCAACACACAAUCAUCACCAAAUAAUUAACAAAACUAGAGAGUUGGAAAAGAAAUACAAAAACAAGGAAAAGAUAGAGAAAUAUUACACGAGUUUGGGAUGGACUAAACUUUUAAUUUGAUGAAUUGGGGGUGAAAAUCAUGGUUUUGUAAUCUAAAGUGAAGAUGGAGAGGACAUAGA